GCUGGGCAUGGUGGCAUGUGCCUGUAGUGCCAGCUACUCAGGAGGCUAAGGCAGGAGGAUCACUUGAGUCCAAGAGUUCUGGGUUGUAAUGCACUAUGUCUAUCAGGUGUUUGCACUAAGUUCAGCAUCAACAUAGUGACCUCCCGGGAGUGGGAGGUUGCCUAUGAACCAGCCCAGGUUGGAAAUGGAGAAGGUCAAAACUCCCAUGCUGAUCGGUAUUGGGACUGUACCUGUGAAUAGCCACUGCACUCCAGACUGGGCAACACAGCGAGACCCUGUCCCUA
ensembl:misc_RNA Metazoa_SRP Metazoan signal recognition particle RNA